rnacentral:rRNA from 1 species
UACGGAGGGGGCUAGCGUUGUCCGGAAUUAUUGGGCGUAAAGAGCUCGUAGGCGGUGUGUCGCGUCGGCCGUGAAAACCUGCAGCUUAACUGUGGGCUUGCGGUCGAUACGGGCAUCACUGGAGUUCGGCAGGGGAGACUGGAAUUCCUGGUGUAGCGGUGAAAUGCGCAGAUAUCAGGAGGAACACCGGUGGCGAAGGCGGGUCUCUGGACAGUUCCUGACGCUGAGGCACGAAGGUCAGGGGAGCAAACGGG